GCGUCUGUAGCCUAGUUGGUAAAGGCAGCACUCUAGUAUGUGUCUCAGCAUAGCUGAGGUCGUGGAGUUCGACUCUCACCAGACACN
rnacentral:tRNA from 1 species